rnacentral:tRNA from 1 species
ACUGUUUUGGCAGAGAAGUGUGAUGAAUUUAGAAUUCAUGAAUGUAAUAGUAUUACAAAUAGUA